rnacentral:rRNA from 1 species
UACGGAGGGAGCUAGCGUUGUUCGGAAUUACUGGGCGUAAAGCGCACGUAGGCGGCUUUGUAAGUUAGAGGUGAAAGCCCGGGGCUCAACUCCGGAACUUCCUUUAAGACUGCAUCGCUUGAAUCCAGGAGAGGUGAGUGGAAUUCCGAGUGUAGAGGUGAAAUUCGUAGAUAUUCGGAAGAACACCAGUGGCGAAGGCGGCUCACUGGACUGGUAUUGACGCUGAGGUGCGAAAGCGUGGGGAGCAAACAGG